CGCCAUCUUUUGGUAACAAAUAUGACCCCGUGCUGGGUUAAUAUGGUAGCCCCCAUGUCCAGUCCAUGAUGAUGACUUAGGAAUGGAGAUAGACUAAUAAAUUUCAUAUUUUACUUGUUCUUUAUCCAUAUUAAGGUACCACAGACCUAGCUGAGACCGUACACUCCAGCUGAUCCACUCAAGUUGCGGAGCUCUUCACUCCGUCGUACAUCCAAGCAUUGCAUUUAUCCGGUGACCAGACCCAGGGUCAACUUUGCACA